AUCCAGGGUUUAUAAACGUCAUUGGUGUGAACGCAGUCUCUGUCUACAACAGCUAGCAGUCACUUCAAACUGUCACUUCACUACUGAUUCUUCAGAUAAUGUAGCUAUUUUAUUAUUUUGCUAGCAAACGUUAGCAAUGUAUGCUUAUGUCGAUUAUUAUGUAGACAUGGAAAUAUAAAAAUAUGCUAUAUCAAAAAUGUAGCUUGAAGACUUUGAUCCAUGCAAUAUGGAGAUGCCAAUUUACUACAAAGCCAGGACACAUCCUAUUCAUGAAAGUAGGUCCCAGGACCUUGGCCCUGCUGCAGCCCCUUGCCACACACAGAAGAGACCACCUGGCCACACCCGGAAGAGACCACCUGGGUGAUAAGCUUUCAGCAACCCUCAGCACCAGGAGCCUGAAGGGAAAAGCCUGCCCCACAUUAGAAACAGCCCCUGACUACGAAGAAAUAUAAUGCCUUGAAAGGUAUUUAUAGCUAAAUACAACUUGCCCAUUGUCUUUUUUUGUUGUAUUGCAAGCUAUGGUCCUUUAGUCUGGCUAAGAAACUGGCCCUUCGGCAAUCUCAGCGUUACAGCGCAGUUGUUAAUUGGUAGUUGGAAACAACAUAAAUAUUUUCCAUGACAACUUUAUGGAUCACGUGGUUCAGUUAUAUUAUUUGUUCCUCUUAUUAAUUGAUGGAGUCCAGGCAGGAUACUUUAGGAAAAAUUCUGAAUUGCCAUAGAGAGAAUUAGCGAACUCACACAUGCACACUGUCACGCUCUGGCCUUAGUUAUCUUUGUUUUCUUUAUUAUUUUAGUUAGGUCAGGGUUUGAGAUGGGGGAUGUAUGUGUUUUGUAUUGUCUAGGGGUUUUGUAUGUUUAUGGGGUAGUGUCUAGUCUAGGUGUAAAUAUGUCUAUGGUUGCCUAGAUUGGUUCUCAAUUAGAGACAGCUGUCUAUCGUUGUCUCUGAUUGGGAACCAUAUUUAGGCAGCCAUAUUCAUUAGGUAGUUUGUGGGUGAUUGUCUAUGUCUAUGUUGCAUGUUAGCACAUUGUUUCUAUAGUUUCACGUUCGUCGUUUUAUUGUUUUGUAUAGU